UAGGAAACAGAUGACUAACGUACCGGAUACAACAGAUGAUGCCUAUCAACUGUUUAAAAGAUGGUUCUGCUAUCACUCUUGGAUGGACCUGCGGUGCAUUAGCUAGUUGGUAGGGUAACGGCCUACCAAGGCGAUGAUGCAUAGCCGAGUUGAGAGACUGAUCGGCCACAUUGGGACUGAGACACGGCCCAAACUCCUACGGGAGGCAGCAGCC
rnacentral:rRNA from 1 species